AUCACGCACUAACCUCGACCGAUUGGAUUUGAUUUCUUCGACAAGUACAGACACACUUCCCUUUGAAUCGAACGUAGGGACAGAAAAACGAUCAUUCGAUUUAAAGCCUCUUAUCCCAAGUUAUUUUCUGAACAUCUCAUACUCAAGCCAUAAACGAAAGGAAGCCGGCGAUCUUUAGCUUAUGUAACAAGAACUCUAUUGAAGAACACCAAGUGAAGUUACGAUUCCUUACCGACUGACAUCGAGAAAACUUUGGCUUGUUCUUGUUUUAGUGCCAGGGUUCCCUCGGUCAGCGUUCCGAAGAACAUCACCCAAACAUACAGAAGCCUACAGAAGCCAACAAUGGGCAAUUUUGCGCGAUUUCUGGAUUUCACGAAGAAUCUUCUGAAAGCAACAGGAGCAAGAACAUCUGAUGAUCAUCUGGCCCUAUUUGAUGAUGCCGAACACAGCUAGUUUGUAAGCAGACGGUGCAGAAUAUUCUUGGCUUUUUUAUACUUCUGCUCUUGUAAAAGAUUUUAGAUUAACGAAAAGGAAUA